AGAUGAACAAUCUGCGACUUGGAAAGCCUAUGCAGCUUGUUUGAGGUCCCAUCAAGGUCAAAAAGUCUCAGACUAAAACCCAAGUCUUCUGGUCCUAUUUUCUGCUCAUUUCUCACAUUUGCAUGGACCUCUGAGGAAAGGGGAAGAUGAAAUCUACGGAACUGGAAGGUAGUGACAACAGGAAGCAAUCUGUCCUCAGAAAUCUCGAAGGACCUCCCUCAAAUGAGAAUUCCUACUUAAAGAACAGGAAAAAGGCUGGAAGGAAGAGGUCCACACAGGCCUCAGCAGGGAUCAAGCUAUUCACAAAUUUCUACAGUUCAAAUCUUCAGUACCAGUAGGCACAAGAGGGUUCACGUUUUCCAGAUCAUGCUCAAAUAAUAAAGAAGACCUGAAUAAUGGAUGCUGUUCUCUA
rnacentral:lncRNA from 1 species